rnacentral:rRNA from 1 species
GUCGAGCGCGGGAAGCUAACUGAAUUCUUCGGAAGGACGUUAGUGGAACGAGCGGCGGACGGGUGAGUAACACGUGGGCAACCUGCCUGUAAGACUGGGAUAACUCCGGGAAACCGGGGCUAAUACCGGAUAAUACUUUUCUUCGCAUGAAGGAAAGUUGAAAGGUGGCUUUUAGCUAUCACUUACAGAUGGGCCCGCGGCGCAUUAGCUAGUUGGUGAGGUAACGGCUCACCAAGGCAACGAUGCGUAGCCGACCUGAGAGGGUGAUCGGCCACACUGGGACUGAGACACGGCCCAGACUCCUACGGGAGGCAGCAGUAGGGAAUCUUCCGCAAUGGACGAAAGUCUGACGGAGCAACGCCGCGUGAACGAAGAAGGUUUUCGGAUCGUAAAGUUCUGUUGUUAGGGAAGAACAAGUACCGUUCGAAUAGGGCGGUACCUUGACGGUACCUAUCGAGGAAGCCCCGGCUAACUACGUGCCAGCAGCCGCGGUAAUACGUAGGGGGCAAGCGUUGUCCGGAAUUAUUGGGCGUAAAGCGCGCGUAGGCGGUUUCUUAAGUCUGAUGUGAAAUCUUGCGGCUCAACCGCAAGCGGUCAUUGGAAACUGGGGAACUUGAGUGCAGAAGAGGAGAGCGGAAUUCCACGUGUAGCGGUGAAAUGCGUAGAUAUGUGGAGGAACACCAGUGGCGAAGGCGGCUCUCUGGUCUGUAACUGACGCUGAGGUGCGAAAGCGUGGGGAGCGAACAGGAUUAGAUACC